rnacentral:rRNA from 1 species
GAGUGGCGAACGGGUGAGUAACACGUGGGUAACCUGCCCAUCAGAAGGGGAUAACACUUGGAAACAGGUGCUAAUACCGUAUAACACUAUUUUCCGCAUGGAAGAAAGUUGAAAGGCGCUUUUGCGCCACUGAUGGAUGGACCCGCGGUGCAUUAGCUAGUUGGUGAGGUAACGGCUCACCAAGGCCACGAUGCAUAGCCGACCUGAGAGGGUGAUCGGCCACACUGGGACUGAGACACGGCCCAGACUCCUACGGGAGGCAGCAGUAGGGAAUCUUCGGCAAUGGACGAAAGUCUGACCGAGCAACGCCGCGUGAGUGAAGAAGGUUUUCGGAUCGUAAAACUCUGUUGUUAGAGAAGAACAAGGAUGAGAGUAAAACGUUCAUCCCUUGACGGUAUCUAACCAGAAAGCCACGGCUAACUACGUGCCAGCAGCCGCGGUAAUACGUAGGUGGCAAGCGUUGUCCGGAUUUAUUGGGCGUAAAGCGAGCGCAGGCGGUUUCUUAAGUCUGAUGUGAAAGCCCCCGGCUCAACCGGGGAGGGUCAUUGGAAACUGGGAGACUUGAGUGCAGAAGAGGAGAGUGGAAUUCCAUGUGUAGCGGUGAAAUGCGUAGAUAUAUGGAGGAACACCAGUGGCGAAGGCGGCUCUCUGGUCUGUAACUGACGCUGAGGCUCGAAAGCGUGGGGAGCGAACAGGAUUAGAUACCCUGGUAGUCCACGCCGUAAACGAUGAGUGCUAAGUGUUGGAGGGUUUCCGCCCUUCAGU